rnacentral:rRNA from 1 species
GACGAACGCUGUCGGCGUGCUUAACACAUGCAAGUCGAACGGAAAGGCCCUGCUUUUGUGGGGUGCUCGAGUGGCGAACGGGUGAGUAACACGUGAGUAACCUGCCCUUGACUUUGGGAUAACUUCAGGAAACUGGGGCUAAUACCGGAUAGGAGCUCCUGCUGCAUGGUGGGGGUUGGAAAGUUUCGGCGGUUGGGGAUGGACUCGCGGCUUAUCAGCUUGUUGGUGGGGUAGUGGCUUACCAAGGCUUUGACGGGUAGCCGGCCUGAGAGGGUGACCGGCCACAUUGGGACUGAGAUACGGCCCAGACUCCUACGGGAGGCAGCAGUGGGGAAUAUUGCACAAUGGGCGGAAGCCUGAUGCAGCAACGCCGCGUGCGGGAUGACGGCCUUCGGGUUGUAAACCGCUUUCGCCUGUGACGAAGCGUGAGUGACGGUAAUGGGUAAAGAAGCACCGGCUAACUACGUGCCAGCAGCCGCGGUGAUACGUAGGGUGCGAGCGUUGUCCGGAUUUAUUGGGCGUAAAGGGCUCGUAGGUGGUUGAUCGCGUCGGAAGUGUAAUCUUGGGGCUUAACCCUGAGCGUGCUUUCGAUACGGGUUGACUUGAGGAAGGUAGGGGAGAAUGGAAUUCCUGGUGGAGCGGUGGAAUGCGCAGAUAUCAGGAGGAACACCAGUGGCGAAGGCGGUUCUCUGGGCCUUUCCUGACGCUGAGGAGCGAAAGCGUGGGGAGCGAACAGGCUUAGAUAUCCUGGUAGUCCACGCUGUAAACGGUGGGUACUAGGUGUGGGGUCCAUUCCACGGGUUCCGUGCCGUAGCUAACGCUUUAAGUACCCCGCCUGGGGAGUACGGCCGCAAGGCUAAAACUCAAAGGAAUUGACGGGGCCCCGCACAAGCGGCGGAGCAUGCGGAUUAAUUCGAUGCAACGCGUAGAACCUUACCUGGGUUUGACAUGGAUCGGGAGUGCUCAGAGAUGGGUGUGCCUCUUUUGGGGUCGGUUCACAGGUGGUGCAUGCCUGUCGUCAGCUCGUGUCGUGAGAUGUUGGGUUAAGUCCCGCAACGAGCGCAACCCUUGUUCACUGUUGCCAGCACGUUAUGGUGGGGACUCAGUGGAGACCGCCGGGGUCAACUCGGAGGAAGGUGGGGAUGACGCCAAGUCAUCAUGCCCCUUAUGUCCAGGGCUUCACGCAUGCUACAAUGGCUGGUACAGAGAGUGGCGAGCCUGUGAGGGUGAGCGAAUCUCGGAAAGCCGGUCUCAGUUCGGAUUGGGGUCUGCAACUCGACCUCAUGAAGUCGGAGUCGCUAGUAAUCGCAGAUCAGCAACGCUGCGGUGAAUACGUUCCCGGG